rnacentral:piRNA from 1 species
UCUGAGGGCUCCAACAGUGACAU